GACGAACGCUGGCGGCGUGCUUAACACAUGCAAGUCGAACGGAAAGGCCUGCUUUCCCUUGUGGAUUGCGGGUACUCGCGUGGCGAACGGGUGAGUAACACGUGAGUGAUCUGCCCCCAACUUGGGUAUAAGCCUGGGAAACUGGGUCUAAUUCCCGAUAGGACUGCAGGGUGGUGCCUGUGGUGGAAAACGAUUUUCUAGUGGUUGGGGAUGAGCUCGCGGCCUAUCAGCUUGUUGGUGGGGUAAUGGCCUACCAAGGCGGCGACGGGUAGCCGGCCUGGGAGGGUGGACGGCCACAUUGGGACUGAGAUACGGCCCAGACUCCUACGGGAGGAAGCAGUGGGGAAUAUUGCACAAUGAGCGGAAGCCUGAUGCAGCGACGCCGCGUGGGGGAUGACGGCCUUCGGGUUGUAAACUCCUUUCGACCGCGAGGAAGCCACCUGGUUGGAAGGGUGGUGACGGUAGUGGUAGAAGAAGCACCGGCUAACUACGUG
rnacentral:rRNA from 1 species